rnacentral:rRNA from 1 species
GACAGAGGUGCCAAGCGUUAGGCGGAAUCACUGGGCUUAAAGCGUGUGUAGGCGGAAUGGUAAGUACCUUGUGAAAUCCCAUAGCUCAACUAUGGAACUGCUUGGUAUACUGCUUUUCUCGAGCCACUUAGGGGCUACCGGAACAAAUGGUGGAGCGGUGAAAUGCGUAGAUAUCAUUUGGAACGCCAAUGGUGAAAACAGGUAGCUGGGAGUGUGCUGACGCUGAGACACGAAAGCCAGGGGAGCGAACGGG